GACGAACGCUGGCGGCGUGCUUAAUACAUGCAAGUCGAACGGAAAGGCGCGGCGCUUGUGGCGUGCUCGAGUGGCGAACGGGUGAGUAACACGUGAGUAAACUGCCCUUGACUUUGGGAUAUCUUCAGGAAACUGGGGCUAUUACCGGAUAGAAGCUCCUGCAGCAUGGUGGGGGUUGGAAAGUUUCGGCGGUUGGGGAUGGACUCGCUGCUUAUCAGCUUGUUGGUGGGGUAGUGGCUUACCAAGGCUUUGACGGGUAGCCGGCCUGAGAGGGUGACCGGCCACAUUGGGCCUAAGGUACGGCCCAGACUCCUACGGGAGGCAGCAGUGGGGAAUAUUGCACAGUGGGCGGAAGCCUGAUACAGCAGCGCCGCGUGCGUGAUGACGUCCUUCGAGUUGUAAACCGCUUUCGCAUGUGACGAAGCGUGAGUGACGGUAAUGGGUAAAGAAGCACCGGCUAACUACGUG
rnacentral:rRNA from 1 species